rnacentral:rRNA from 11 species
ACACGACUCUCGGCAACGGAUAUCUCGGCUCUCGCCACGAUGAAGAAUGUAGCGAAAUGCGAUACUUAGUGUGAAUUGCAGAAUCCCGUGAAUCAUCGAGUCUUUGAACGCAAGUUGCGCCCGAGGCCUCGGCCGAGGGCACGUCUGCUUGGGCGUCGCACU